rnacentral:rRNA from 1 species
GAUGAACGCUGGCGGCGUGCCUAAUACAUGCAAGUCGAGCGAACAGAUGAGGAGCUUGCUCCUCUGACGUUAGCGGCGGACGGGUGAGUAACACGUGGAUAACCUACCUAUAAGACUGGGAUAACUUCGGGAAACCGGAGCUAAUACCGGAUAAUAUAUUGAACCGCAUGGUUCAAUAGUGAAAGACGGUCUUGCUGUCACUUAUAGAUGGAUCCGCGCCGCAUUAGCUAGUUGGUAAGGUAACGGCUUACCAAGGCAACGAUGCGUAGCCGACCUGAGAGGGUGAUCGGCCACACUGGAACUGAGACACGGUCCAGACUCCUACGGGAGGCAGCAGUAGGGAAUCUUCCGCAAUGGGCGAAGGCCUGACGGAGCAACGCCGCGUGAGUGAUGAAGGUCUUCGGAUCGUAAAACUCUGUUAGUAGGGAAGAACAAAUGUGUAAGUAACUAUGCACGUCUUGACGGUACCUAAUCAGAAAGCCACGGCUAACUACGUG